rnacentral:rRNA from 1 species
AUUGAACGCUGGCGGCAGGCCUAACACAUGCAAGUCGAACGAGUGGCGGACGGGUGAGUAAUGUCUGGGAAACUGCCUGAUGGAGGGGGAUAACUACUGGAAACGGUAGCUAAUACCGCAUACCAUCGGAUGUUCCCCGAUGGGAUUAGCUAGUAGGGGGGGUAACGUCGCACCUAGGCGACGAUCCCUAGCUGGUCUGAGAGGAGGACCAGCAAAACUGGAACUGAGACACGGGCCAGACGCCGACGGGAGGCAGCAGUGGGGAAUAUUGAACAAUGGGCGCAAGCCUGAUGCAGCCAUGCCGCGUGUAUGAAGAAGGCCUUCGGGUUGUAAAGUACUUUCAGCGGGGAGGCGUUACCCGCAGAAGAAGCACCGGCUAACUCCGUGCCAGCAGCCGCGGUAAUUC